rnacentral:lncRNA from 10 species
UAAUGUGGAGAGGCCUGGGGCCUUUCCCUGAGGACUGGAUGGCUGGAGUUUGGGAGCCUGAGUUGACAGAGGAGGCUAAGCCCGGGCAGCUACUUUGUUCCAGAAAUCUAAGGUCCCUGGAGGGAGGCUCUGCUUUGGGAGGGGGAAGGGAGCUAACAUUGCAGAGCACCAACUGUGAACCAGGUACAAUGGCAGAGCCUUUCCAUACCUGUACUCACAACUAGCGGGUGAGGAGUCAAGGCAAAUAGGUGUCUCAUAGCUCCCCAUAUCUCGGCAGUCGACCACCUCCUCCUUUGAUUCUCUGAUGUCACUGCCAGUUCUCCUCCUAUUGCUCUGACCUGUCUUUCUCUGUGUCCUUUGCAAACUCAUUCUCAACUCCUUAGACUCAGUCAAGUCCCCCAGUUACACACUUCCAUGGUACUAUAUAUCAUUCCUUCAGAGCACUUAACACAGUUAUUUCCUAUGUAUUUGUCCAGUCAUUUGAAUAAUGAUCCUAGUUUCAUUGGAUGGAAAGUUCCACAAGGUCAGUGACCAUUUCUAUCUGUGUUCACCAAUGUGUUCCCAGUGCCCAGAAACAAUGCCUAGCAUAAAGCAGCUGUUUUGUAAAUACUUGUUCAAUGAAUGAAUAAAUGACAAAAGAACAUC